rnacentral:rRNA from 1 species
UACGUAGGUGGCAAGCGUUAUCCGGAUUUAUUGGGUGUAAAGGGCGUGUAGGCGGGAAUGCAAGUCAGAUGUGAAAACUAUGGGCUCAACCCAUAGCCUGCAUUUGAAACUGUAUUUCCUGAGUGCUGGAGAGGCAAUCGGAAUUCCGUGUGUAGCGGUGAAAUGCGUAGAUAUACGGAGGAACACCAGUGGCGAAGGCGGAUUGCUGGACAGUAACUGACGCUGAGGCGCGAAAGCGUGGGGAGCAAACAGG